CAAUUUAGAAAGCUUCUUCCCCUUAUUUGAUAUUAGAGGGGGCUAUUGUCAUAGAGGAAAUAUCUAUAUCUCAGGAACUUAGAAAAGAAAUAAAAAACUAUGGGUCAUGACAAUGAUGAUGAUGAUGGUGGUCAUAAUAAUAAGACCCAAUAGCUAUAAUAUGUAAGAGUUUCCAAUUCAAUUAGAUGGUCAUUGACGAAAAGGAUCAAGCCACUUCAUGUCUCUGGCCUUCAGUGUCCUCAUAGAUACACUCAGUUCCCCACCACCUCCAAAGUCAUCUUCAGUUUCAAGUCCUAUGAUCCUCUGGAAUUCAAUGGGAUCUGCCUGGUAACCAAAAGAAUAAGAACUCUUCUAUGAGUGACCAAUGUGGCUUACUGUCACUGCAAAACUUUUAGGGGCUGUUAGACAAAUUUUCCUCCGACUUUUAAAAAUAAUUUUUCAUGGUCCUUGUGCUCCAUGGUAGACACAUUUAUCUAGGCAGACACAUAUUCUUUUAUGUCAAGUUAAGUGACUGAGCAUUCAUCAAGUGUCAGCUAUGUUUCAGUCACUAUGUUAAGUGUAGGGGAUUCAAAGAAAGGCACAAGACAGUCCCCUGCCCUCAAGGAGCUGCCAUUCUAAUGGGGGAGGCAACAAGGAAAAAACUAUGUUCAUACAAUGAAAAUGUUUAGUCUUCUUUCCCAGAAAGAAGGUAAAGACCCUUUGCUGAUUGUCCUGGUAGGACUGCUUUUGGGGGAUGAUUAAUCAUAUGCUGGGUUAGUAGAGAAGAAUAGUGUUGUUUCUUGUUUCCCAUUUGAGUGACUGUGGUGGGAUGGUCAUUUCUUAGUCCUAUCCAUAAGGCUGGUGUUCAAGGCUCACAUACUGAGGUUGUCAUUUCUCUUUUCAGUCUCCUUUAGACCCAUCCCUGGAAGCAGUUUCCUCCCCAAAGCAUAAACAGCACUUCAAAGGGGCAGCUGACCCAGUCCAUACGUCUGACCAUGCAGAUCUGCUGGGGGAGGCCAAGAAGACUCUGCAGACAGAGGAUGUGUGUUAUCCCCUGGCAACACUACCACCAUCUAGUGGAUUGGAUUCUCCUAGUGUUCAGUUCAGAGAAUUGGAUGCUCACCAGUCAGCAGGCAGGGUGCCAAAGGGAGAAGCUCAGGGCGAACUCAACCAAAGGGAGACUUUGCUGACAGAAGAUUUGGAUGAGAAAUUCAUGCAGCUGGAGAAGGAAAAAAGUCAACAGAUUCUGAUGAGUAUUGAGCAGAGCUUGUUGCAGAAUCCUCCAAUGGUUAGGCUGGAAGAAAAUGUGAUGAAACUUAAGAAAGAGCUCAGUGAAAUGGAAAUGGCAAAUCAAAUCAUGAAAACUCAGCUGAGGAAAGUCAUCCACAUCCAUGUAAGUUGAGAUAAGUGAGGUUUCUUCAGAAACUCAACCAGGGGUUUUGUUUGUCAGUAUUGUGGGAAGCUCCUCUAUUUCAUUUAAACAAACAGGUGCCCUUUUUGUUCUUCACUUAUGGGAAGUUCACUUAGGUCGCACGGAAAAAAAUUGUUUUUACACGUAAUUAGGGGAAAAUAAAAUAUUUAAAAAAGAUAUUUAAGUUUUGUUA
rnacentral:lncRNA from 1 species